GCCUAACACAUGCAAGUCGAACGGUAACAGGAAACAGCUUGCUGUUUCGCUGACGAGUGGCGGACGGGUGAGUAAUGUCUGGGAAACUGCCUGAUGGAGGGGGAUAACUACUGGAAACGGUAGCUAAUACCGCAUAACGUCGCAAGACCAAAGAGGGGGACCCUCGGGCCUCUUGCCAUCGGAUGUGCCCAGAUGGGAUUAGCUUGUUGGUGGGGUAACGGCUCACCAAGGCGACGAUCCCUAGCUGGUCUGAGAGGAUGACCAGCCACACUGGAACUGAGACACGGUCCAGACUCCUACGGGAGGCAGCAGUGGGGAAUAUUGCACAAUGGGCGCAAGCCUGAUGCAGCCAUGCCGCGUGUAUGAAGAAGGCCUUCGGGUUGUAAAGUACUUUCAGCGGGGAGGAAGGGAGUAAAGUUAAUACCUUUGCUCAUUGACGUUACCCGCAGAAGAAGCACCGGCUAACUCCGUGCCAGCAGCCGCGGUAAUACGGAGGGUGCAAGCGUUAAUCGGAAUUACUGGGCGUAAAGCGCACGCAGGCGGUUUGUUAAGUCAGAUGUGAAAUCCCCGGGCUCAACCUGGGAACUGCAUCUGAUACUGGCAAGCUUGAGUCUCGUAGAGGGGGGUAGAAUUCCAGGUGUAGCGGUGAAAUGCGUAGAGAUCUGGAGGAAUACCGGUGGCGAAGGCGGCCCCCUGGACGAAGACUGACGCUCAGGUGCGAAAGCGUGGGGAGCAAAC
rnacentral:rRNA from 1 species